rnacentral:rRNA from 1 species
UACGUAGGGUCCGAGCGUUGUUCGGAAUUACUGGGCGUAAAGCGCGUGUAGGCUGCUCCGCAAGUCGGAUGUGAAAGCCCUGGGCUCAACCUAGGAAGUGCAUUCGAUACUGCGGAGCUGGAGUCCUGGAGAGGAAGGCGGAAUUCUCGGUGUAGAGGUGAAAUUCGUAGAUAUCGAGAGGAACACCGGUGGCGAAGGCGGCCUUCUGGACAGUGACUGACGCUGAGACGCGAAAGCGUGGGGAGCAAACAGG